GCAGGAGCAGAGUGUAUAAUCGAGUGUUAUUGUACAAGGACGUUAGGUAGACGCGAUCAAAGGAAAAGACAACAGUGUUUUGGCUGAAGCCGUUAUACUGGGCCUAUUUAAGGAUGAUUAAUUAUGACAGGUGACAGACUAAGUGCAUUAGGCGAACAAACAGAGAGGUAGAGAGAGAUGUAGGGGUUAAACAGCGAGCCAGGUUCAGCGACCUCAGAGCAGAUACGGAGCUACUGAUAGUUGAGUUUGCCUGGUUCGAGCUGGUGAAAAAGAGGCCUCCGGACGACACAGCACAGGAGAAGUGCAAGGACGGACUGCAAAUACAUUACUGAGGCCAGGCUGUUUGAUUAGCAGGAGAAGGCCAUGAGUGUUGGAGAGAAGGAAAGGAAGAAAACAAGGCAAAAAGAGGACAGAAACAACAAAGAAAGACAACAAAAAAGAAGAAAGAAAAGUAACAAGUACAUAAAAGAGGACAAGAAAGAAGAGAAACACAACAAAAGAAUAAAAGUCAAAUUCAAUAAAAAGAAAUAAAAAGAAAAAGAAAGAAGUCAGUAAGGAAGAAAGGAAGGGAGAGCGUGUCCGAAACAAGACAGACGUGGAGAGAGAAAAGAAGAAGUCAGCAAACAAGAGAAAGAAAGGAGGAAUGUAACAAAGAAGAAGUAAACACCCGCCACGCGCCUCACGCUCCGGAUGGCAGUGUCUCUCUCACAGUCUUGCUUCUACACCUCUCGGGUGGUUCCAGAGCAGACUUUAACCUCAAGAUAUCUCAGCUGACGGGAUAGACGGCCAACUGAUGACUUGGAUCAAGUAUCCUAGGUCAAAGUUCAUCAGUACACCUGUUGCCUUGAAGGUACCCUCAGGCCAAUGAGAGCCAGCCCAGGUUUCUGUGCUGCACUGGCUGUUCUUACCACUCUAGCACUGCAAGAGCUUCCUGUCUGCCUUAAGGAGCGGACUUCAGGGGCCUCUGUGAGAACAAAGUGUCAUGGGUCGAGUACAUGGUAUCUCCUGAGAUGUCACUCUGGGUGAACUCCUGGCCAUUAAUCUCUCAGCUCCAAGACUUCACUCUUGAUGUCUGCAUCCUCAAGCAAAUUACAGCCAUGUGUUCAGCUCACCAGCCUCCAUUUUGAACUCUUCUGACAGUUUAGCAUAAUUUCAGAGAAGAUUCCACUGUUGGCCUCAACUCUGGCUUCACAAUCAUUCAUCAGAAAUAUUGCAAUGCUUUUCAAAUCUACUUCACCAAAUAUAUUCAGUAUUCUUUACAGAAAAUAAACACUGAAUGACCACACAAGAUAUUGUUACAAAAAGAGGCAGCUGCAGAAUCUAUAUAUCCCCUUGUGUCAGUAUUGACUUCCAGCACAAGCGGAUGUUGAUUUCUUGACAUAACAGGAUUUGUUCAUAUGAAACUGUGCCAAGUGUCUUUAAAUUAUGCUAUUUUAAUUGACUGAAAAAAGACUUCACAAAGUUAAGCAAAUUACACGUUAUGAUAAAACAAUGCAUUUCAAGUAUAGAAUUAUGGCAAGUACAGCCAAUGAGUAUUAAGCCUCAGAGGUGGGUGAGUACGCACUGCUGAAAUAUCUUUAAUGAAUUCUCCCCGACAUUACUGCACAGUCUAUGAUUCAUUUGAGCACGUAUCUCUCCUAGAGAGGUGGCAAAAUGAAGGGUCCACUUAUUCUACAUUACCCCUGCAUUCAUCACAGACGCAUGUGACACUGCCUCUAAUCACCACAUUGAAUUUGAAAUCGCUUUAACUUCCGACUAGGAGAGGGUGAUUGUAAUAGCUUGGGCUUUUAUGAUUCAUAGGAAGGAGGCUUUAAAUACCUCCCUGACAGAGUGACAAGCCCGGUGAGUGCUGAAAUGGGACCAUAAUGAUGGUUAACAAGUUCUGAGCACCAAGAAAGCAUUCUGAGGCAAUUUGUUAGCAAGUCCGAGAAGGCUGUUUUCUUGGACAAACUGAUCUGAAACAGAUGGCAGAGAUGUUACUAUAAUCCAUAUGAGGCCUAUAGAUAGCUCACUUCAAGCAAAUCAAUCUACUGCAGCUUGUCAAAGCAACCGGAUAGAAUGGCUAAUAUCAUGAGCCAAAGAGUGAGUGUAUGCUGAAGGAAAUGGCUGGAUUCCCAUGCCUUUAACCCAACAGAACAAAUUAUUUCUUUGCCAGAUUUUCCAGUCCGCAGCAAGCAUGAGUCUGGUCUUAUUGUCUUCCGUUCUCCAGAGGUCCCCACUCCUGUUGAAGCAGCAACCAAGCUCUCAUUUUGUUGUGUGGGAGUUCUCUACACCUCUAGCCCCCUUAUAUCUACUGCAUCUUCUGCCAGAUGAAUAAUUAUGGCAGCUCUGUGAAAGUACCAUGAUCACCCUAACCUCUGCUGUGCUGACAAGCACCUGUGAUUGUUAGGAUGCUUGGCUGGUCAGGAACCUGUGUUAGAGAAUGAGAAAGGUAGCUGUGUUGUCUGGCUCCUAAAAAGAAUAUAAAAACAGGCAUGAGAGUUAGGCCUGAAGUUUUGAUGUACUGAAAACCUGCCCUGGGUCACCAGAUACGUCCAAAAGCAUUUUUUUCAUGCAGUUUUGGUGGUUGUGCUGUUGAUGAAGAGAGGCUUACUCAUCUUAAGAGAUGGAGUAGCUGACAGGGGUCUGUAGUAAAGAUAAGACCUAGAGAUUGGGGCCUCCCUUCUGGCUCUGGCAGCUGCUUGACCCUGACCCAAGGUCUUAAAAAUAAGAGCAGGAUGAGGCAGCACAUGCCUAUGACCUAAAACAGCAUCUAUAACAUAUACAUAAAUGUGGCAAGUGUACUCCAUGAGAAUUUGCCUAACACGGCAUAUCCAGCUAUCAUCAUAUAAUCCAUAAGGCUUACUACAGGAGGCCAUGAAAGGAGUGUGAAGGUUCAGGCUUUUAUUACAAGCGGCUACCUGUUUUCAAUACAGCUGCAUACAGCUGCCGCCAUGAGCCUCUUUGCAUUCUGUUCCUCGGGUGAAUGUCAUCAGCCCUAGCUUUCAAAGUCACAAUAGAGGGAUAAAGAACAAAGAACAGGUCAGAAUGUUUAACCAACGAAGAAAAACACAGCUGCGCAUAAUUCUUGUGACUGUGAAUGUCAAUGACAGGGACACUGUGAAACAGUAUGGAAGUGAGCUGUGAGCUCCAGAACGUCAAUUCUGAAACAUGCAAAUAAUACAGGCAGGUGCUAUGUUCUACCUGAGGUAGCUCCUGCUUUGGAUCUGUCAAUACCAUUCAUCACAUAUGAAUGGGAUCAAUGGACGGUUCUAUGUGACUAACAUGGUCCAAAUCAACACCAAAUAUCACCAUGUGUU